UACAGAGGGAGCAAGCGUUAUCCGGAAUGAUUGGGCGUAAAGCAUUUGUAGGUGGCUCUUAAAGUCUACUGUCAAAUAUCAGGGCUUAACCCUGAGCAGGCAGUGGAGUACUCAAGAGCUAGAGUGUGGUAGAGGUAGAGGGAAUUCCAUGUGGAGCGGUGAAAUGCGUAGAGAUAUGGAAGAACACCAGCGGCGAAGGCGCUCUACUGGGCCAAGACUGACACUGAGAAAUGACAGCUGAGGGAGCGAAUAGGAUUAGAUACCCUAGUAGUCC
rnacentral:rRNA from 1 species